CCGUGAGGGUUGGGUUAAGUCCGCAACGAGCGCAACCCUAUUGUUAGUUGCCAUCACAUAAUGGUGGGCACUCUAAUGAGACUGCCCGGGUCAACCGGGAGGAAGGUGGGGACGACGUCAAGUCAUCAUGGCCCUUACGCCUAGGGCUACACACGUACUACAAUGGUGCAUACAAAGGGUUGCGAAACCGCGAGGUCAAGCCAAUCCCAAAAAAUGCAUCCCAGUCCGGAUCGGAGUCUGCAACUCGACUCCGUGAAGUUGGAAUCGCUAGUAAUCCCGGAUCAGCAUGCCGGGGUGAAUACGUUCCCGGGCCUUGUACACACCGCCCGUCACACCACGAAAGCUGGUUCUACCCGACAACGGCGGACUAACCCUUCGGGAGGUAGUCGUCUACGGUAGGGCUGGUGAUUGGGGUGAAGUCGUAACAAGGUAC
rnacentral:rRNA from 1 species